rnacentral:rRNA from 1 species
UACAGAGGGUGCAAGCGUUAAUCGGAGUUACUGGGCGUAAAGGGCACGUAGGCGGUUGUAUAAGUCAGUUGUGAAAUCCCCGGGCUUAACCUGGGAACUGCAGCUGAUACUGUAUGACUCGAGUCGAAGAGAGGGAAGCGGAAUUUCCGGUGUAGCGGUGAAAUGCGUAGAUAUCGGAAGGAACAUCUGUGGCGAAGGCGGCUUCCUGGCUUCAGACUGACGCUGAGGUGCGAAAGCGUGGGUAGCGAAC